AUGGCGGAAGCCCUUGCUCUCAAGUUUGGUUUAACAUUGGCGCAAAGGGCGGGGUGUAAUCGCCUUAUUAUUAACUCAAAUAACCUGGAGGUAGUUUAUACUAUGCAGGAUGAAGGACAAUCAACGGGUGCGGUAGCAGCAAUCUUCCAUGAUUGUUUUCAUUACGCUUGUGAUUUUAGUACUAGAUUCGAACAUUGUAAUAGAGAAGCAGAUAAAGUAGCUCAUGAGCUUGCUAAAUUUGCUAGAUUUUCUUUGAUUUCUGCCUAGUUUCAGGAACCGGUAGAUGAGAUUGUAAUGAUCCCCAUGAACGAUGUACUUCUUAUGUCUAAUGAAUAA
rnacentral:rRNA from 1 species